rnacentral:rRNA from 1 species
AGAGAGAGACAUGCGCGCAUAUCAAUAAGCGGAGGAAAAGAAACUAACUAGGAUUCCCUCAGUAACGGCGAGUGAAGCGGGAAGAGCUCAAAUUUGAAAUCUUCAAGGUUCUACCUUGACGAAUUGUAGUUUAAAGAAGUGUUUUCUGUUGGAGUUUUGGUAAAAGUUCUUUGGAAUAGGACAUCAUAGAGGGUGAGAAUCCCGUAUUUGACCAUUAUUUCCAGCUUUGUGAUACACUUUCAAAGAGUCGGAUUGUUUGGGAAUGCAGUCCAAAAUGGGUGGUAAAUUUCAUCUAAAGCUAAAUAUUGGCGAGAGACCGAUAGCGAACAAGUACCGUGAGGGAAAGAUGAAAAGAACUUUGAAAAGAGAGUUAAACAGUACGUGAAAUUGUCAAAAGGGAAGCGUUUGACACCAGUGUUGUUUUCUCGAAAAUCAAUUAAAAAAGGCAGGAUUUUGUGUUGUAUUGACUUUAUCAGCUUUCUGCACUCUUUUCUUGUCUUUUUUAAUGCACUUCUCGUUUAACAAGUCAACAUCAAUUUCUUUUGUUGUAAAAGGGUCAUUGGAAGGUGGCUUUCUUUUCGGAGAAAGUGUUUAUAGCCUUGGCCUCUGCAAUCGGAGAGAUUGAGGUCUGCAGCGUAGAUCCUUCGGGGUUAGAUACAUUUGUGCUAAGUUAUAGCCUUUCAUAGACAACUUGUUGACUAUGAUCAGUCAUGUAGCUUACUCGCUUAUGCUAUUUUACCUACGCUUAGGAUGUUGAUGUGAUACUGCGAGC